AUUGAACGCUGGCGGCAUGCCUUACACAUGCAAGUCGAACGGCAGCGGGGGAGAAGCUUGCUUUUCCUGCCGGCGAGUGGCGAACGGGUGAGUAAUACAUCGGAACGUGCCCUGUAGUGGGGGAUAACUAGUCGAAAGAUUAGCUAAUACCGCAUACGACCUGAGGGUGAAAGUGGGGGACCGCAAGGCCUCAUGCUAUAGGAGCGGCCGAUGUCUGAUUAGCUAGUUGGUGGGGUAAAGGCCUACCAAGGCGACGAUCAGUAGCUGGUCUGAGAGGACGAGCAGCCAGACUGGGACUGAGACACGGCCCAGACUCCUACGGGAGGCAGCAGUGGGGAAUUUUGGACAAUGGGCGAAAGCCUGAUCCAGCAAUGCCGCGUGUGUGAAGAAGGCCUUCGGGUCGUAAAGCACUUUUGUCCGGAAAGAAAUGGCUCUGGUUAAUACCUGGGGUCGAUGACGGUACCGGAAGAAUAAGGACCGGCUAACUACGUGCCAGCCGCCGCCGUAA
rnacentral:rRNA from 1 species